CCCAUGGCUCAGAUUGAACGCUGGCGGCAGGCCUAACACAUGCAAGUCGAGCGGCAGCACGGGUACUUGUACCUGGUGGCGAGCGGCGGACGGGUGAGUAAUGCCUAGGAAUCUGCCUGGUAGUGGGGGAUAACGCUCGGAAACGGACGCUAAUACCGCAUACGUCCUACGGGAGAAAGCAGGGGACCUUCGGGCCUUGCGCUAUCAGAUGAGCCUAGGUCGGAUUAGCUAGUUGGUGAGGUAAUGGCUCACCAAGGCGACGAUCCGUAACUGGUCUGAGAGGAUGAUCAGUCACACUGGAACUGAGACACGGUCCAGACUCCUACGGGAGGCAGCAGUGGGGAAUAUUGGACAAUGGGCGAAAGCCUGAUCCAGCCAUGCCGCGUGUGUGAAGAAGGUCUUCGGAUUGUAAAGCACUUUAAGUUGGGAGGAAGGGCAGUUACCUAAUACGUAUCUGUUUUGACGUUACCGACAGAAUAAGCACCGGCUAACU
rnacentral:rRNA from 1 species